rnacentral:rRNA from 1 species
GGAUGCGAUCAUACCAGCACUAAAGCACCGGAUCCCAUUAGAACUCCGUAGUUAAGCGUGCUUGGCCGAGAGUAGCACUAGGAUGGGUGACCGGCUGGGAAGUCCUCGUGUUGCAUUCC